rnacentral:rRNA from 1 species
UGAGGAAUAUUGGUCAAUGGGCAGGAGCCUGAACCAGCCAAGCCGCGUGAGGGAGGAAGGCCCUAUGGGUCGUAAACCUCUUUUGUCAGGGAACAAAAGCGAGUAUGUAUACUAGUCUGAGUGUACCUGAAGAAAAAGCAUCGGCUAACUCCGUGCCAGCAGCCGCGGUAAUACGGAGGAUGCGAGCGUUAUCCGGAUUUAUUGGGUUUAAAGGGUGCGUAGGCGGCGGUGCAAGUCAGCGGUAAAAGCCCGGGGCUCAACCCCGGCGAGCCGUUGAAACUGCAGUGCUAGAGAAGGCGAGAGGUACGCGGAAUGCGCAGUGUAGCGGUGAAAUGCUUAGAUAUUGCGCAGAACUCCGAUUGCGAAGGCAGCGUACUGGCGCCUGACUGACGCUGAGGCACGAAAGCGUGGGGAUCGAACAGGAUUAGAUACCC